rnacentral:rRNA from 1 species
UACGAAGGGGCUAGCGUUGCUCGGAAUCACUGGGCGUAAAGCGCACGUAGGCGGAUUGCUAAGUCAGGGGUGAAAUCCUGGAGCUCAACUCCAGAACUGCCUUUGAUACUGGCGAUCUCGAGUCCGGGAGAGGUGAGUGGAACUGCGAGUGUAGAGGUGAAAUUCGUAGAUAUUCGCAAGAACACCAGUGGCGAAGGCGGACUCACUGGCCCGGUACUGACGCUGAGGUGCG